CUUCUCCCAAUCUUGGCCUUUAAGAAAAAAGGCAAUUCACAAGUCCCAGGAGCCUGCGCAUUAAAGCGAGCUGUGCAGCAGCUUUCCCGCCGGUUUUCUGCGGAAUGUAGCACUGUGGCCACGCCGCGGGGUGGAGCGCCGAGGGUUGUGUCCCAGCCGGAUCGGAAAGGAGGUGCCGGAAACUUUAAACCCCGUCAGAGUACAACGUGUCCACUUAGACGGCGAUGAAAUUUUGGUGGCAUGUUAAAGGAGCUCACGUUACUGUAAGCUGACGCUGGCUUCUUAAAACUACUUUUAAAAAGAAUCCAUCGGUUCUUUCAUUUGCCAAAUCUCGGCUGCUUCCCUAGGAUGCCCUAACAGCUUUCACAUCUUGAUCAGCUCAGUGGAUUCUCCAAGCCUUCUUUCCCUUUCACACCCGCAAUGAGCUCCCGCAGCGCAGGCCCCGCUUUCCUUUCCGGAGGAGCAGGAGCCCUGCCUCUGCUACCAGAAGGCCCCACUUCCGGUCUCUGCUUCUCGUCAGCUCUGGGACUUGAGACAAACUGCCAAUUUUCUCAUGUCUGAAAUCAUUGUUAAAAAAAUUGAAAAAAUAUCAAGAAAACUAACAGAUACUGUACGACCUGUGUCUGCCUUUCUCACAAAGCUGUUAUAAGGAGCACAUGAGAUAAUGUGGAGGUUAAUUACAAAUUCUAAUGCCCUGCCCGUCACUUCUUAAGGUACUGACCUCAGGGUGCACCCGAAAGUGACCUAGCUGAUGAAAGGAGGUAAGAGCAGGCUCAAGGGACCUGGGGUUCAGUUCUAAGGGUCUCACUUAAAAUAACAGUGAUCGGGCCUCUCGGUAGUGUUCCCGGCAGAAAAGUCAAGUCGUUCCUAAGGUAAAGGCCGCCAUUAGGUCAUAGAAAACAGAGCCCCAAGUCUUGUCCCCUGUACCCCUGUGGCCAACCCCAGAAAGCUCAACCUUUAGGGCUUCGAAUGUGACUCUUGUACCAGAAGGAAAUAAAAAACUCUAGCCUAUGUUCUAUGGCCCUACAAACCAAGGAGAGUGUUUCAGUACUGGCAUUCUGGCACCAAGACUGCAUCUGAAUUGUGUGUCUUGUGAUUCUGUCUCCACUAUAUGAUGUCAUGAAGCACACCUGAAUUUGGUGGGAAGAGACUUGGAGUUGAGACUAACCUCUGUCCCUUAAUAGCUGGGCAUAACCACCACGUUUAUUUGCAUUUCCGUCUGUUGACCCUGCUGGGAAUGCGGAGUAAGGUAAUGACUCAUCAGACGGAGAGUGUCGGGGAGCAGAGUGGGACAUCACAUGCCUUACAUGGCGGAGCUGCAGGGGCCGGAGGCUGGGGUGUGAGAGAGGGCUGCGUGCUUGGCGGCCUUCCAUGGUCUGGUUCGGUUUGGCUAACGUGCUACAUUUCCACUGGGAAGUGGGGAGGGACGAGGCGUGACUUCUCAAAUCUGCAGUGUCUCCUUGUGUGAAAUGAAAGGUUAGGACUAGGUGGCCACGGGGGAUGCUUACGGCUCUAACAUUCUCCUCCUCUUUCAUCAUGGGAUGGGUCAGACCUUGAUGUGACCGACCGCAUGACCUCAAAGCGUCUGACUGUAAAUGAACCAAGGGACAUCCCAAGAAAGCUGGAAGAGAAAAGGAAACUGCCAAAUGCAACUGCUCAGACUACUAGCGUCUCCUCAGAUGGAACUCAGCAUUUUCCCUUUGCACAGGAAGACCCAUGGUUUGUGGGGCUUGAAGUUUAUUCAGUUUGGGGAGCUCUUUAAGAAAAAAAAACAUACACCCUGGCUGGUGUGGCUCAGUGGAUUGAACACAGGCCUGUGAACCAAAGGGUUGCUGGUUCGAUUCCGAGUCAGGGCACAUGCUUGGGUUGUAGGCCAGGUCGCCAGCAAAGGACACAUGCGAGGCAACUGCACAUUGAUGUUUCUCUCCCCUUCUUUCUCCCUCUCUAAAAUAAAUAAAUAAAAUCUUUAAAAAAGAAAAAAAGAACACAGAAAUAAUUAAGAAUACAAAUUUAGAUACUAAUGUGAAUGUUUAGUAAGAAUGAGAGAAGAAAUUGCAUCAAGUUACAGGAAUCUUGGGAACUGAGGUCCCUUUCUGUUGAGAAAUGCUUACAAAGGAAGUAAUUCCUGAUUGUAACCUUGCUUUUCCUCUCGAGAACAUUUUACUGCCCCCAGCGACAACCAGAACUCAGUAAUGGCUGGUAUGAGUGAAGGGGCCUGAUACGUAAGUUCAGUUAGUUUCUUUGUAAAUCUGCCUCUACAUUUCAAGCUGUAUUUCCUUUAAUUAACUAGACAGCUCACUCAUCAACUUCUGUUGGUUUUCACUGGAAAGAUAGAUGAUCAUUUCUUUUAUCCUCAAGACCUCGCAGCAGGGAGGGUGCUUCUACAGGAAGAUGGUGGUCGAGCCCCCAAGACGGCCGCCAUCAAUUCCUUCCCUUGGCACACAAGCCCGCUGCUCCUCCCUUCGACAGGUGGAUCCUGAUUCCCCUCUCGCCAAACACGGGCCAGCCUCAUGCCUUCCUGGACCUCUAGAAUGUGGCAGAGAUGUUCUGGUACUUCUGAGUUGGUCUUACAAAACCUUGUAGCUUCUGCCUGGGACUCCUAAAUCACUUGGUUCUCGGGAUGUCUUCUCUCAGAAUCCCGCUGCCCAGCCAUGAGAAGCUGGAACCAAGGGGGAGGCCAUGCGUAGCUGCCUCAGCCAAACUCUUAGCAGACAACUGACGUCAACUGCCAGCUGUGCGAGUAGGCCGUUUUGGACUUCCGGCCCAUCCGCUCUCCAGAUGACUCCAGCCCCAACGAAUAUCCACUGUGACCACGUGAGACACUCCCAGGGAGAACCACCCAGCUGAGCCCAGUCUCAGGACUCAACCCACAGGACUUUGAAUGAUGAUGAUAAAUGGUUCUGUUAAGUGUUCGGGUGGUUUGCUUUGCAGUCAGCAAAGGCACAAAGGCAGUGAGUUGUGCUGGAACACUGCCCAGCUCCCUCUCCCUACAGGAUCGGGGAUACAGGGCACUGGACACUGAGCCCCUUGGAGACUCCUCUUUGUUCCCUACUGUCCAUAAGCAGCACUUGCUCGCUCUGCUCCUGUCUUCCUGCAGGUGGGAAACUGGGGGUGGGGGGUGAGGGGAGAUGAAGCUAUAAAGUUAUUUUCAUCUGUCCUAAGUCUCCCCUGCCGUUGGUUGAGAAAACUCAGAAAAAGGCAUGGAAUUAUUUUUCCUCUUCAGACUGUAAUAAGCAACAGUUUUCCUUUCUCACAGGCUAAAAAGCAAACUUUAAUAUGUUUUUUUUAAAAAUUUCACUCUGCUUGUUCUUUAAACCAAAUCUGCCAUCAGUUCUUAUUACAUUGUUUUUUUUGUGUCUUUUUUGAAGUGUCUCUCAGACAGUUCUCCUCUCAGUUCUCACGGUCCCUGCCGUUGCUCAGCUCCUCACUUCCCCAGAGUCUCGGAGCCUCAGCUCCACAAUGGCCUCCCUGUCUGCAUCUCCCACCCGCUUGUCUGUUCCCCCAUCUACCUGCCGUUACAGGCGAAGACUCCCACCGCCACCAUUGUCAUGCUGCUCCCCUCGCUAAAGACCUUAUCUGCUGCUCUGGGUCCAGGCACUCCACAAUAAGUAGCUUUAUUAUUGCUAAUAGCCCUUCAAGCUAAUCUUCCAAGUUCUAUGACCCUGUAAGGCAUGUUUUACUUCACAACAGACUCACUGCCGCUUCCUUAUUUCUCUGUGCUCCCCAUCUUGCGCGUCUCCAGACUGCAUAGCUGUCUCUCCCUUCUCUGAAUUCCCCUGGCCGCUCAGGCAGCAGGAAUCGCAGGCUUCAUGGCUGAUUAUUCUUUGGCUAGUCUAACCUCCCAACUGGCCCAAAAUUCUAAUUCCCUGAGGACAUCUUCUCCAGUGUUCUGUUCGAUAAACACCACUGGACCCUUCACCCCUAAGUGAAGAGCCAGGGAAAUUUUGUGGUUUCAAUGGAAUGUGAAGAGAAACUAGAAGCCAAUAUUUAUUACGCCAGGCUCUGUGCUAAGUACUUUACAUAUGUCAUUCGUUCCUUAGGUUCUUGAGUAUAACAACCCCAUUGCCCUCUUUUUACAGGAGAGGAAGCUGAGAUUUAGGUAAACUAACUGCCUUGCGGUCACCCAGCUAGUAAGUGAAGAAACAGAGCUCGAGCCCAGACCGAUUACCAGUCUGCGUUUCUAACCACCACACACCCCACCUCGUACGGUAAGGAGGGGUCUAGGGAGCUUUUUUAAAACAAGUUUUUCCUCUUCUACUACCCAAAGAUAAUUACCACUAUCAUUUUUGCAAACUUCAAGAUUUACAUAAACAUAGACACAUAUGUGUGUACUCAUACCCGCACCCUUUUUACCUACUUACGACCACACUCUUUGUAUAUAUAAUCCUAUCAUUUAUUACUCUUAGCGGAGUGCAGCCCUGGUCCAUGCCGCUCUGUGCCAACACUGUUUCCUAUGGAUUGGCCAGACUGUCGAGAGUACACGACAGAGUAAACCAUGCUCUUUCCCCAAGUGGGGUUUUGGCUGGGGGCAAGAAAAGAUACCAAGAAUCCGAAGACUGUAAAUGUCAAGGUGACAAUGUGAGAUCUUAAAUAUUGUGCCUGUGUUCCUGGGAGACAACAGGGGAGUCCCAAGCAGAAGAGUUAUUCUCUCUUAAUAUGGAAGUCAAUCCUGGGAAUGCCCAACGUGAAGCCUUCCAGAAGCCGGUGGGGAAGGAAGGUCUGGAUUUACCAACUACGUAGCAGGCCUUGUGUCAGGCAGUUCCAGAGACCUGCCAUCUGCUUCUCCCGGCGCCGUGUGGACAUGCAUUUCCACCCCGCCUGAAGGGAGGCGGAGGGCAGGGGGGAGUAAGGUGUGAGGCCAUGGGUAAUGCUGGGGCUGGGCUUCAGAUACUCGAGUGUAAGCUCUACCUUCUAUUUGAGAAGGCUAUGUCUUUUGGAUGAAAGGAAAAAUAGUAUCUCAGUGAAGAAAACCAAGAAUGAGCUAAAUGAGUGGACUGGAGUUACAAAAAACAGCUGCCUGGAAUCCAUGACACUGAGGAG